UCGCUGGCGGCGUGCUAACACAUGUCAGGUCGAAGCGCGAAAGCCCGCAAGGGUAAUGUAGAGUGGCGCACGGGUGAGUAACACGUGGACAACCUGCCUUCGAGUGGGGAAUAACCUUCCGAAAGGAGGGCUAAUACCGCGAUAACACCUCGUGGACACAAGUUCUGAGGUUGAAAAGAGCAAUUUGCUCGAAGAGGGGUCCGCUCCUGAUUAGCUAGUUGGUGAGGUAACGGCUCACCAAGGCUUCGAUCUGUAGCCGUCCUGAGAGGGAGCACGGGCACACCGGAACUGAGACACGGUCCAGACUCCUACGGGAGGCAGCAGUGGGGAAUUUUUGGCAAUGGGCGCAAGCCUGACCAAGCAACGCCGCGUGGGUGACGAAGUAUCUUGGUACGUAAAACCCUUUCGGCAGGAACGAACCUAAUGACGGUACCUGCAGAAGAAGCCCCGGCUAACUCCGUGCCAGCAGCCGCGGUA
rnacentral:rRNA from 1 species